rnacentral:lncRNA from 1 species
UCACCUAAACCGUCUGGUGCUACUUGGUGCAGGCUCAUCAGGGACAAUUACUCAUCGUCGUCCACAUCUUCUUAUUGUCGUAUCCAUGAUGUGGUUUAAAGGUUCAAUUGGUUAAUAGGGCUUAACAAUCAUAUGUGAAUCAAUCAUGAGACUAUGCGUGCUACGCGAAAGAAAAUUUGAACAACACGCAUAAAGUAUGAAUAAAUUACUGAUAUAUAUGCCUCAAGAGAGGACUUUCAUAAUAUUCAAAAUAAUAGUGCCUCUCAAAGAGGUUCUUUUAGUUAAUACGAUUGAACAACUUCAAAUGUAAACUAACCAUAAUAACUAAGCGUGUUACAGGAAGAAAAGUUUGAAUAACACGCGUUAAAGCGUGAUCAAAACACUUAUGUAUCAUAUGCCUCAAAAGAGGACUUUCAGUAUAAUGAAUAUAAUAGAGUACUCCAAGUGUUUAGGUAGUACGAGAAUUUAUUAAAUGAAUUGGGGUGUCUAGGCAAGGUAUAGGUAGGAUAUGGACGAGUUCGACCUUGCAGUCAAAAAGUGAGAUGUUCUUAUCAAAAGUAAGGUUAUUCUAAACACUUGUCGCCACUACUAAACUAAUAAUGUAUGCAGGCAAUUGCUCUCUCAUGAAUCUCUUGUGAUAGCUUCCUCAAUAUUGUUCUUAGGACCUUCUCCCGAUGUCAAUGGCCUUGGCUUGGUGCUCUUGGUCAGCUGCGGAAAAUCGUCGAUCACUAAUCUUGCGCAUGUGUUGGUUGUCCCUAUUUUCCAUUCAUUAGAGAAAGGUGUUGCACGAGUCUUAUUGAUAAUUUGAUGUCUAAUACUCUUCCCUUGCAUGCAUUCAUCUUGUCUGCCGUGAUUCUACUACGAAAGCUCUCAGAAAAUUCUAUAGCUUCCCGAUUUAGCUAUGGAGCUU